rnacentral:lncRNA from 1 species
AUUGUGAAGAUGAUAUAAAUGGGUGAUGGAGGUUUUACUCAACUCAGUCAGGCAAGAUGGUCUUCUCAAGCCCAGAGAUGGCUGUUCUCUCUCUGACUCAAGCCAGUAGGCAUUCACUCUGACUCCACUUCUCAAGGUUAUUGGAGCAGUUUUCCAUUUCCUUCUCUUGCUCAUGUUAAAGAUGAGAAAACUGAGGCAAACAGAGCAUAACCAGAGAAACUGCAGAAAAGGAAUCAACCUCCGUGUUGCCACUGACCCUUCUUACAAAGCUUUUGGCAAACAAGACCACAGAAUAGACUCUGGCUGUAAAAAUUGUUUAAAUGUCAUCCGCAGCUAUCACCUUUCUUGAACCUGAUUAGUCCAGGGCAUCAAGGUAUUCUGAUAGCCCGCAUACUUAACUCCAAAAAGCUACGCAUGCAAUCUCUUUACAUUUUGUUGAGAGUAAUUACUGGGCAGAUAAUGAAUUCUCCUUUCUGUCUGCAAGCAGAUGGGCUCCUAUUAUCAGGGUCUUAGAACAAACUGAUUGUGUUAAGGUGUUGUGUCACAUCUAAUUCUAGGAGCCAAAGGGGAAAUAACCUCAUUUAUUAAUGAUAGGGGAAAGUAUGAGAAAUUCAUUACCUGACACUUAUUUUCUGUAAUGGAAGUGUUUUUCCUUUUUUCCCUGUAUUAAGGGGGAGACUGGCCCAGAACUGAAGGGGAGGCCAAAACUGCACUGAGCCUGAAAUGAGCCUGUGAUCUGUAUAGCUUUGAUUUUUUUUUUCCUAGG